ACGAACGCUGGCGGCAUGCCUAACACAUGCAAGUCGAACGAGACCUUCGGGUCUAGUGGCGCACGGGUGCGUAACGCGUGGGAACCUGCCCUUAGGUUCGGAAUAACUCCCCGAAAGGGGUGCUAAUACCGGAUAAUGUCUUCGGACCAAAGAUUUAUCGCCUUUGGAUGGGCCCGCGUUGGAUUAGCUAGUUGGUAGGGUAAAAGCCUACCAAGGCGACGAUCCAUAGCUGGUCUGAGAGGAUGAUCAGCCACACUGGGACUGAGACACGGCCCAGACUCCUACGGGAGGCAGCAGUGGGGAAUAUUGGACAAUGGGCGAAAGCCUGAUCCAGCAAGGCCGCGUGAGUGAUGAAGGCCUUAGGGUUGUAAAGCUCUUUUACCCGGGAUGAUAAUGACAGUACCGGGAGAAUAAGCUCCGGCUAACUCCGUG
rnacentral:rRNA from 1 species